AGGCCUACACAUGCAGUCGAGCGGUAGCACAGAGAGCUUGCUCUCGGGUGACGAGCGGCGGACGGGUGAGUAAUGUCUGGGAAACUGCCUGAUGGAGGGGGAUAACUACUGGAAACGGUAGCUAAUACCGCAUAACGUCGCAAGACCAAAGUGGGGGACCUUCGGGCCUCAUGCCAUCAGAUGUGCCCAGAUGGGAUUAGCUAGUAGGUGGGGUAAUGGCUCACCUAGGCGACGAUCCCUAGCUGGUCUGAGAGGAUGACCAGCCACACUGGAACUGAGACACGGUCCAGACUCCUACGGGAGGCAGCAGUGGGGAAUAUUGCACAAUGGGCGCAAGCCUGAUGCAGCCAUGCCGCGUGUAUGAAGAAGGCCUUCGGGUUGUAAAGUACUUUCAGCGAGGAGGAAGGCGUUAAGGUUAAUAACCUUAGCGAUUGACGUUACUCGCAGAAGAAGCACCGGCUAACUCCGUGCCAGCAGCCGCGGUAAUACGGAGGGUGCAAGCGUUAAUCGGAAUUACUGGGCGUAAAGCGCACGCAGGCGGUCUGUCAAGUCGGAUGUGAAAUCCCCGGGCUCAACCUGGGAACUGCAUUCGAAACUGGCAGGCUAGAGUCUUGUAGAGGGGGGUAGAAUUCCAGGUGUAGCGGUGAAAUGCGUAGAGAUCUGGAGGAAUACCGGUGGCGAAGGCGGCCCCCUGGACAAAGACUGACGCUCAGGUGCGAAAGCGUGGGGAGCAAACAGGAUUA
rnacentral:rRNA from 1 species